rnacentral:ribozyme from 1 species
UGCCCAGCAACUCCUAUCCCUACCUCCUCGCGGUACCGGCCGGAAACUAUGAGCAACCUUAGGGAAGAUCGGGUAACCAACCCCGGUGGGAACUUUGGUCGUAGGCUAACAGGGAAGG